rnacentral:rRNA from 1 species
AAAUCUCGACACUUCCUAGACUAAGUGUCCGCCUGAGAACUACGAGCACAAACGCUUAAAACUCUAAGGACUUGGCGGUGCCUCAAACCCACCUAGAGGAGCCUGUUCUAUAAUCGAUAACCCACGCUACACCCAACCGCCCCUUGCUUGCUCAGCCUACAUACCGCCGUCGCCAGUCCACCUAUCUUGAGAGGAUAAUAGUGAACACAAUAGCCCCAACCGCGCUAAAAAGACAGGUCAAGGUAUAGCCCAUGGAGCGGGAGAAAUGGGCUACAUUUUCUACUAUAGAAAAUUACGAAAGGGGACAUGAAACUCUCCCCAGAAGGCGGAUUUAGCAGUAAAGUUGAACCACAAUGCCACCUUAAAACCGGCCCCGGGGCACGUACAUACCGCCCGUCACCCUCCUCGUAAGCUACCAGCGUAAGUAAUUAACACCAACUUCUAGCCAAAGACGAGGCAAGUCGUAACAGGGUAAGUGUACA